rnacentral:lncRNA from 1 species
CCAGGUUCCUCUUCUUGGUGUACCUCCAUUGUCACUGCUCAGCUCUGCCUGCUUCCCCCUGCCACUUGGCAUGGAGAGCAGACCACAUUUCUCUCACACUAACCACUUCUUCUUAUUGAGAUCUUUCUUUCUUUUCUUUUUUCUUUUUCUUGGUUAGAAGUGAGUGCUGGUUUGGAGGUGACAAAAAAGGUGGCAGAACAAGGCUGAAGUGUGGAAGUAACUGAAAAACUUUAAAGCUCGAUUGCAGAGACUCCCUCUCAGCUUUCAUGUCCCCUCCAAUUGUUUACCACUGGUUGGUGAGCAUUUGCUGGUGGGACCAAUCUACUGGGUGCCAAGGAGUGUGGCCAGUCCUACGUCUUGUAGUUGAAGCAUGUGUCACACUAUUAUUUUUCGAAGCAAGAAAAUUGCAGUGGGGACAGAGAACACUGAUCGUAAGAGAAGCGCUGCUAGAAGCAAGCAAAUGGCCCCAAAGUGGCAAAGGUCUGGGGAGGUCUCUCUGA